CAAAAAAACAGGAGAAAAUGGAUCGGUGUAAACAUUGGCUUUGCAGAGAACUGUAAUGGGUAAUGGCUGAGGAAAUCAUCUUGCAAAGUCACUGAAGAAGCCAAAAUAUGAAUUCCUUUGCCCCCGGUGCAUGUCAGCCCAAUGCCCACCUCAUGAGACCUCAUAAAACACAAGGAACGGUUCCCAAGUCCCGAAGGCAAAUCUGCACAAGAUUUAAAAUGUCAGGAUAAGGCUGCUGCCCGAGCUGGGAGAAGAAAUCAUAACUGGAACGAGGAGGUGUUCACCUAUUGGUUGGCUCUGGAGGAAGAGCUGGUAUACUCUGCCAGGGCCUUUGAGUGCUGCUAACGGGCAGGAUAAGAAAUAGGACAGUGAGCCUCAAGAAUUUUAUUCCAAGCUCUCUAACAGGCAAGGAAAAUUGGGUCUUUCAUUUUCUAGAGAGGCAAAAGAGAGCAAGUGUCCGCUGCCAUUAUGUUUCACACUGACAGUGAGUUAACACCUCUGCAGACAAACUCGAAGCUUGGAUAUGCAGCUCUGGGAGGAGAGGUUCAGCUACCUGUAUGACAAAUAUCUGCCAGCUGCGUUUCAACACACGAAAGUACAACCACAGCCCUUGUUCUGCAUCAACACAUUUGGUCUUGCAAGUCUUUCAAAAACAAGAUUUUUUUAACAGGAAUUUGUCACGAAAUUUGAACGAAGUACUAUUUGGAUUAACAAAAAGAAAAGGGUCAAAGAUGCAAAUUAAAUGGGGAAAAGAAAAGAAACCUUUUAGGUACAGCAGACAAAACACAUUCUGCACCCCUAGUUCUGCUGCAGCACUGUGUGGCUGACAUGGAGGAACAGAUAUUUUUGUUAGACAGCUCCACAGCAGCCCUGUUUGAUGACUUGAAAGCUGGGGAAAACUCACAUCACCCCAUCAAACACUUCUUCAUCCAUCAAGAAGACCAAGAGAUCUGACUUGGUAGUGAUUUCAGUAGUGUACUAAAGAGCCUGUGUUGUUUUAAGUACAAGUGACCCCACUGAUUAGAUAGAAAGCACUAGAAAGAAAAAAAAAAAAAAAGAUCACAGGUGUUCACAAGUGUGAAUUUAGUGAAAAUUACCCAGAGGUUGAAUUUAAUUGGAAAUCUUAACGUUGCAUGUUCAGGUCUAAUAGUGCCUUGCCAUGCUAAGAAUCCAAAUGCAACGGUACAGAGUGAAAAAGAAAGAAAGCCUUAAAAUCAACAUAGUUAGGAGACGCAUCACCAAAACCUCACAUAGAGAUAUCUGGCAUGGAAGUGCUAAAAGAAGUACUUUGCCAAACACUUGUUGGAAAGGACAAAUGUUGUUUUCACUCAAGUCUAUGAAACGAAGGGGGAAAAGGAAAACAAAACAAAACGAAACAACAAAAACAGCCCAGGAGCUAUUAUUUGUAGCUGUGCUUUCUCUGCAGACUUUGCCUGUCCAAAGGUACCACGCUGGUUAUCACUUUGAAUUGGAGAAAUCCAGAUUUUCUUCCACUCCGCAGCAAUGCCGGAGCGCACACAGUGAUUUCUGUCUGCGUCAGAAAGACUUCAGAUGGAAAGCUAACGUAAAGAGCUUCAGAACACAGACAUCACAAAUAGAUAAUUAAUCUAUGCAGAAAAAAAGAACCCACAACAGGAGCCCAUUGUAAGAUUUCAGAGCUGCUGAGAGCAUACUUGCAAGAAAUUAUCGCUCCUACAGUGGUUACCGUUUUUCUGUAUUCUUUAAACAUUCUGACUUAAAAUCUCAAAAUGCGUUCCUAUGUCAGUGACAAUCUUAAUAGAGCCCAAUUAGUUCCACAAGGCACUCUGUGAUGCACAAGCCCCUGCCUUGAUUGCGGUGAAUGGUGGGUAUUUCCUGUGUUUAAGUCCACAUAUGGAUCGAGUAAGGCGGUGGCAGAGAGACUACUGUUUUCCUUCACUACAUCUUCAUUUCUUUUUCACAGGCUAAGCCUUUUUUGUUUUUCCUGGCUCUGUUGUCAAAACACUGACCAGAGUUUUGGCUCAUGGUAUUGGAACGGGAGGCCAAAACAAUCCUCUGGAAACCAGUGUGGCAAAAUGUAUUUUAGAUCUCUACAUUCACCGUUCAGCCAUGCG
ensembl:lncRNA